rnacentral:rRNA from 1 species
CACGUAGGGCGCAAGCGUUGUCCGGAAUUAUUGGGCGUAAAGAGCUCGUAGGCGGUCUGUUGCGUCCGCUGUGAAAACUCGGGGCUUAACCCCGAGCCUGCAGUGGAUACGGGCAGACUAGAGGCAGGUAGGGGAGAAUGGAAUUCCCAGUGUAGCGGUGAAAUGCGUAGAUAUUGGGAGGAACACCAGUGGCGAAGGCGGCUCACUGGACCGGAACUGACGCUGAGGCGCGAAAGCGUGGGGAGCAAACGGG